AACGCUGGCGGCGUGCUUAACACAUGCAAGUCGAACGGGAUGAAGAGAGAAGCUUGCUUCAUCCUUCAUUUAGUGGCAAACGGGUGAGUAACACGUAAACAACCUGCCUUCAGGAUGGGGACAACAGACGGAAACGACUGCUAAUACCGAAUACGCUCCAAGAGCCGCAUGGUUUUUGGAGGAAAGGGUGGCCUCUAUUUAUAAGCUAUCGCCUGAAGAGGGGUUUGCGACUGAUUAGGCAGUUGGUGAGGUAACGGCCCACCAAACCGACGAUCAGUAGCCGGUCUGAGAGGAUGAACGGCCACACUGGAACUGAGACACGGUCCAGACUCCUACGGGAGGCAGCAGUGGGGAAUCUUCCGCAAUGGACGAAAGUCUGACGGAGCAACGCCGCGUGAGUGAAGACGGCCUUCGGGUUGUAAAGCUCUGUGAUCCGGGACGAAAGGGUUGUGUGCUAAUAUCACAUAACACUGACGGUACCGGAAAAGCAAGCCACGGCUGACUACGUGCCAGCAGCCGCGGUAAUACGUAGGUGGCAAGCGUUGUCCGGAAUUAUUGGGCGUAAAGCGCGCGCAGGCGGCCCCUUAAGUCCCUCUUAAAAGAGCGGGGCUUAACCCCGUUAUGGGAAGGAAACUGGGGGGCUGGAGUGUCGGAGAGGAAAGUGGAAUUCCUAGUGUAGCGGUGAAAUGCGUAGAGAUUAGGAAGAACACCGGUGGCGAAGGCGACUUUCUGGACGACAACUGACGCUGAGGCGCGAAAGCGUGGGGAGCAAACAGGAUUAGAUACCCUGGUAGUCCACGCCGUAAACGAUGGAUAC
rnacentral:rRNA from 1 species